rnacentral:siRNA from 1 species
UUAAACUCUGGAAUUUGUGUC